rnacentral:rRNA from 1 species
GACGAACGCUGGCGGCGUGCCUAAUACAUGCAAGUCGAACGCAGUGGGGACGGUUGAGUAACAACUGGGUAACCUCCCAUCAGAGGGGAUAACACUUGGAAACAGGUGCUAAACUGAUACUGUUGGAUGGACCCGCGGUUCAUUAGCUAGUUGGUGAGGUAACGGCGCACCAAGGCCACGAUGCAUAGCUGACCUGAGAGGGUGAUCGGCCACACUGGGACUGAGACACGGCCCAGACUCCUACGGGAGGCAGCAGUGGGGAAUAUUCGGCAAUGGGCGAAAGUCUGACGGAGCAACGCCGCGUGAAUGAAGAAGGUGUUCGGGUCGUAAAGCACUGUUGUUAGAGAAGCGGUAUCUAACGAGAAAGCCACGGCUAACUACGUGCCAGCAGCCGCGGUAAUUC